GGAGAUGAUCAGUCUUUGUCACUAACAGUGAACAAAACUCCUAACUGAUAUAUCCUACCUUUAAAUGGAAUGUGGAAACUGACACUGGAAGGCAUCCAAUAAGCACAUUUGCUCUUGCCUCCACCCACCGUCUUUCCUUACAGUGACACAUUUUCAUCCAUUGCCAAAGAAACAAUGCAGACGUGCCAAGGCUGAAAACCUGAGAAAGGCUGUGCUGCGGAGUGCUCAUGAGGAUGCUCAAGCGAUGGCGCAGUCUGGAGGGGGCAUCAAGUCUCCUUCAAAAGGUAAGGAUCUCUAGAUCUGGAGAAAAAAAAAAAGAUUAAAAAAUCUGUAGAAGAAUUGUCAUAAUAGUUUACAAAUAAUAACCCAAAACAAAAUAGCCGGGAUAUCUAUAAGUAGGAGACUUGAUAAACAAUCUUUGGUAUAUCCGUACAGUGGAAUACUAGUCAGUAAUAAAAAGAUAGAUGUACGGGCA
rnacentral:lncRNA from 1 species